GUGCUCAAAGAGGCAGCACAUAUACUAACAUUGGGCCAGUGCAGAGAAGAUCAGCCUGGUCCCUGCUCACGGGGACAGGCAAAUUCAUGAAGAGUUCCAUGUUUUU